AGUCUGCAACUCGACUACAUGAAGCUGGAAUCGCUAGUAAUCGCAAAUCAGAAUGUUGCGGUGAAUACGUUCCCGGGUCUUGUACACACCGCCCGUCACACCAUGGGAGUCGGAAAUGCCCGAAGUCUGUGACCCAACGAAAGAGGGAGCAGCCGAAGGCAGGUCUGAUAACUGGGGUGAAGUCGUAACAAGGUACC
rnacentral:rRNA from 1 species